AUACGUUAUGCUGAGCUUUAGUUUACAUUUUUUUCGACAUUGACUGGCUCGAAUUUGAUAAUAGAACACAUCACAUUGCUGCGAAUCCUUGGGAUAACUACAUUUCUGGAUUUUGGUUUAACCGAACAGGAUGGAUAGCAAAAAUCGCGAUUGAUAAACAAUUUACCGUUGUAGAAGUUCCACGUUUACCUCGAAAACUUCGACCUGAAAUAGUCGCUUCAGUUUAUGAACGGUCUCGAGACACAAUUUCGUAAAUUAUGUGGUGGCAGACCACAUUAAAUACAUUGGAACAUUCGAUACUACGACCUACAGCAGUCUGCCGAAUCCAGUAUAAUACAUUCUAAAACCAACAAUAUUCCAUACAUUUAAAAUUGAUUAUAUAAGCAAGUUAAAUUGGAGCGAAGUGUAAAAAUAAACCAUACUCGAAUGCACCUGAAAACACACAAAAAAAUGCUUAAAAUCAGUUCAGCCGUUUAGAAGGAGUUCACUGACAACAAAUCACACUCAGCUAAAAACAGAAAUAUAGAAAAUGACCCGGUAACCUAGUGAGGAGGACGCUAUAGCACCACCAUUGAGAUAAAAUGUGCCAAUCGAUCUACGUCCCUCGGUCGGCAUCCACCUUGAGAGCAACGUGUGAAUUGAGAAGAAAGUACGACUCUUCAGCAAACCUUGGACCACUCUUAGAUAUCGCAGAGAUUUAUGGUAUUUUCGGUCAAAAGUCAGCCCUAAUUAUUGCGUAA